rnacentral:rRNA from 1 species
CCUGAAUGAGAUUUUAACACGAAGUGAGUGGCGGACGGGUGAGUAACACGUGGGUAACCUGCCCAGAAGCAGGGGAUAACACCUGGAAACAGAUGCUAAUACCGUAUAACAGAGAAAACCGCCUGGUUUUCUUUUAAAAGAUGGCUCUGCUAUCACUUCUGGAUGGACCCGCGGCGCAUUAGCUAGUUGGUGAGGUAACGGCUCACCAAGGCGAUGAUGCGUAGCCGACCUGAGAGGGUAAUCGGCCACAUUGGGACUGAGACACGGCCCAGACUCCUACGGGAGGCAGCAGUAGGGAAUCUUCCACAAUGGACGCAAGUCUGAUGGAGCAACGCCGCGUGAGUGAAGAAGGGUUUCGGCUCGUAAAGCUCUGUUGUUUAAAGAAGAACGUGGGUGAGAGUAACUGUUCACCCAGUGACGGUAUUUAACCAGAAAGCCACGGCUAACUACGUGCCAGCAGCCGCGGUAAUACGUAGGUGGCAAGCGUUAUCCGGAUUUAUUGGGCGUAAAGCGAGCGC